rnacentral:tRNA from 1 species
GGGGUUGUGGCUCAGAGGUAGAGCACUCACCUAGCAUAAGUGAGGCACUGGGUUUGAGCCUCAGCACCACA